CCUACGGGAGGCAGCAGUGAGGAAUAUUGGUCAAUGGACGCAAGUCUGAACCAGCCAUGCCGCGUGCAGGAAGACGGCUCUGUGAGUUGUAAACUUCUUUUGUACGAGGGUAAAGGCAGAUACGCGUCUCUGUCUGAAAGUAUCUUACGAAUAAGGAUCGGCUAACUCCGUGCCAGCAGCCGCGGUAAUACGGAGGAUUCAAGCGUUAUCCGGAUUUAUUGGGUUUAAAGGGUGCGUAGGCGGUCGGAUAAGUUAGAGGUGAAAUCCCGAGGCUCAACGUCGGAAUUGCCUCUGAUACUGUUAGGCUAGAGAGUAGUUGCGGUAGGCGGAAUGUAUGGUGUAGCGGUGAAAUGCUUAGAGAUCAUACAGAACACCGAUUGCGAAGGCAGCUUACCAAGCUACUUCUGACGUUGAGGCACGAAAGCGUGGGGAGCAAACAGGAUUAGAUACCCUAGUAGUC
rnacentral:rRNA from 1 species